rnacentral:rRNA from 1 species
AACUCAAAAUGAAUUGACGGGGGCCCGCACAAGCGGUGGAGCAUGUGGUUUAAUUCGAUGCAACGCGAAGAACCUUACCUGGCCUUGACAUGUCUGGAAUCCUGCAGAGAUGCGGGAGUGCCUUCGGGAAUCAGAACACAGGUGCUGCAUGGCUGUCGUCAGCACGUGUCGUGAGAUGUUGGGUUAAGUCCCGCAACGAGAGCAACCCCUGUCCUUUGUUGCCAGCACGUAAUGGUGGGAANGGGGAGGGAGACUGCCGAUGAAAANCCGGAGGAAGGUGGGGAUGACGUCAAGUCAUCAUGGCCCUUANNGCCNNGGNUACACACGUGCUACAAUGGCGCGUACAGAGGGCUGCAAGCUAGCGAUAGUGAGCGAAUCCCAAAAAGCGAAAAAGUAGUCCGGAUCGGAGUCUGCAACUCGACUCCGUGAAGUCGGAAUCGCUAGUAAUCGCAAAUCAGAAUGUUGCGGUGAAUACGUUCCCGGGCCUUGUACACACCGCCCGUCACACCAUGGGAGUGGGUUGCACCAGAAGUAGAUAGCUUAACCUUCGGGAGGGCGCNNNCCNNUNUUGAUUCAUGACUGGGGUGAAGC